rnacentral:rRNA from 1 species
GACGAACGCUGGCGGCGUGCUUAACACAUGCAAGUCGAACGGAAAGGCCCUGCUUUUGUGGGGUGCUCGAGUGGCGAACGGGUGAGUAACACGUGAGUAACCUGCCCUUGACUUUGGGAUAACUUCAGGAAACUGGGGCUAAUACCGGAUAGGAGCUCCUGCUGCAUGGUGGGGGUUGGAAAGUUUCGGCGGUUGGGGAUGGACUCGCGGCUUAUCAGCUUGUUGGUGGGGUAGUGGCUUACCAAGGCUUUGACGGGUAGCCGGCCUGAGAGGGUGACCGGCGACAUGGGGACUGAGAUACGGCCCAGACGCCUACGGGAGGCAGCAGGGGGGAAUAUUGCACAAUGGGCGGAAGCCUGAUGCAGAAACGCCGCGUGCGGGAUGACGGCCUUCGGGUUGUAAACCGCUUUCGCCUGUGACGAAGCGUGAGUGACGGUAAUGGGUAAAGAAGCACCGGCUAACUACGUG